rnacentral:rRNA from 1 species
UACGGGGGGGGCAAGCGUUGUUCGGAAUUACUGGGCGUAAAGGGCUCGUAGGCGGCCAACUAAGUCAGACGUGAAAUCCCUCGGCUUAACCGGGGAACUGCGUCUGAUACUGGAUGGCUUGAGAUUGGGAGAGGGAUGCGGAAUUCCAGGUGUAGCGGUGAAAUGCGUAGAUAUCGGGAGGAACACCAGAGGCGAAGGCGGGCUACUGGGCCGAUACUGACGCUGAGGAGCAAAAGCCAGGGGAGCAAACGGG